rnacentral:rRNA from 1 species
UACGUAGGGGGCGAGCGUUAUCCGGAUUCAUUGGGCGUAAAGCGCGCGUAGGCGGCGCGCCAAGCGGGACCUCUAACCCCGGGGCUCAACCCCGGGCCGGGUCCCGGACUGGCGCGCUCGAGUGCGGUAGAGGCGAGUGGAAUUCCCGGUGUAGCGGUGGAAUGCGCAGAUAUCGGGAAGAACACCGAUGGCGAAGGCAGCUCGCUGGGCCGCCACUGACGCUGAGGCGCGAAAGCUGGGGGAGCGAA